rnacentral:rRNA from 1 species
GGUGAACGCUGGCGGCGUGCUUAAGACAUGCAAGUCGAACGGCAGUCUUCGGACUGUAGUGGCGCACGGGUGAGUAACGCGUAACUGACCUACCCCAAAGUCGCGGAUAACGAUUCGAAAGGAUCGCUAAUACGUGAUGUGCUGUCAGAUUGUGUUCUGCCAGUAAAGAUUGAUUGCUUUGGGAUGGGGUUGCGUUCCAUCAGCUAGUUGGUGGGGUAAAGGCCCACCAAGGCGACGACGGAUAGCCGGCCUGAGAGGGUGGCCGGCCCCAGGGGCACAGAGACACGGGUCCCACUCCUACGGGAGGCAGCAGUUAGGAAUCUUCCACAAUGGGCGAAAGGCUGAUGGAGCGACGCCGCGUGAGGGAUGAAGGUCUUCGGAUCGUAAACCUCUGAAUCAGGGACGAAAGACACUUCGGUGGGAUGACGGUACCUGAGUAAUAGCACCGGCUAACUCCGUGCCAGCCGCCGCCGUAACAC